rnacentral:rRNA from 1 species
CGGUGUUCAACUGGCGUGUCCGCGGGACGUCCUGCCGGUGGGCUUAGCCCGCAAGGGCGGCCCAACUUCAAAUCCCAUCGCGGUGCUCUUCACUGAGUGUCGAGGUGGGCCGGCACGUUUACUUUGAACAAAUUAGAGUGCUUAAAGCAGGCUAAAACUUCGCCUGAAUACUGUGUGCAUGGAAUAAUGGAAUAGGACCUCGGUUCUAUUUUGUUGGUUUUCGGAACCCCGAGGUAAUGAUUAAUAGGAACGGAUGGGGGCAUUCGUAUUGCGACGUUAGAGGUGAAAUUCUUGGAUCGUCGCAAGACGGACAGAAGCGAAAGCAUUUGCCAAAAACGCUUUCAUUGAUCAAGAACGAAAGUUAGAGGUUCGAAGGCGAUCAGAUACCGCCCUAGUUCUAACCAUAAACGAUGCCAGCUAGCGAUCCGUCGACGUUCCUCCGAUGACUCGACGGGCAGCUUCCGGGAAACCAAAGCUUUUGGGUUCCGGGGGAAGUAUGGUUGCAAAGCUGAAACUUAAAGGAAUUGACGGAAGGGCACCACCAGGAGUGGAGCCUGCGGCUUAAUUUGACUCAACACGGGAAACCUCACCAGGCCCGGACACCGGAAGGAUUGACAGAUUGAGAGCUCUUUCUUGAUUCGGUGGGCGGUGGUGCAUGGCCGUUCUUAGUUGGUGGAGCGAUUUGUCUGGUUAAUUCCGAUAACGAACGAGACUCUAGCCUGCUAACUAGGCGUAUUUUCGACAUCUCAAAGGUCCGUCGUCCCGGCCCUCGGGUCGUGGGCGUGCGCGAUUUUUACUGUCGGCGUACUAUCAAUUCUUCUUAGAGGGACAGGUGGCUUCUAGCCGCACGAGAUUGAGCAAUAACAGGUCUGUGAUG